UACUGGGUGUGGGCCGGUGGCUGCUGGAGUUGUCAGGCACUUCCCAGCCAGAGCUCUCUGGCUUUUAUUUUACAGCUGAGAGAGAAAUUUCAAUACUGUAGAAAGAUCAGUCAAAACAAAGAAGACAGUUUUCUCCUUUUCAUUGCAAAACAAGGCUGCAUUCUGGCAGAUAAAGACAGGGCAGAAUAUAUAUUGUAAUUAAAUAAAGAAAAUAAUGUCUGACUUUUUUCUAAUUUGUUUCUGGAAAAAUGUUGAAGUCUUAGUGGACCUACUUGAAACUGAGGUGGGAAAUAAGCUGAAGUGAAAUGCUUCUACCCAGGAUUUACAGAGCUGAGUAAAUAAGAAAAGGAGUUUCUGUAAACUCCUAAUGUGCAAAAACCACAUUAUGUAAAUCAGUUCCAGUUCUUCAGCAAAGAAGGGACAGCUGAGCCCACAGUAACAGGUACUUCAUAGUAAAAAAUACUAAAUUUACUUUUUAAAGAGGUAUGGUUUGAAAACAACAGCCUAUAAAUAAAUGGCUAUAUGCUUUAUUUACUAGUCUAAUUCAGCUUUUUGGCAACCAUUCAUUGCUUUGUCUGUGAGUAGAAAGUGUAGUUUACAACCCCUGCUCUGUAGCAUUUUACAGGGUCUGGUGAUCUUCAGAUUCUUUGAGGAGCUGUCCUUGCUACCCCCAGGACAGAGAGCUAGCUGGCCUGAGUAGCAACCUGGGCUUUUUCUAAGCAGGCUGCAGCUUUCCUGGCUGCCCCAGGAUGGUGUUUCUACUGGGAUGGAUCAGCUGGAUUUGAAAAGAGCAUUUGCCUGGUGGUGACCUUUGCCAUGGUAUUGUCUCACCGUGCCCAGCAGCUCCUGGUCUGAGCCCUGUCUCUCCCUGAGGGAGUUCCCUGUGUGCCCUGUGCUGUGCCAUGGAGUGGAGGAAACACAGCUUUGUCCAAGCUGUGGGAAACCCCUGGCCCUGGUGGGAGCACAAGGAGCGCCUGCACCCAGACACCUGCACAGAUUGCCUCAGGACUGGCUGAAGAACAGGAGCUAGUCAAGAACAGCUGAAGUCCACAGAGGGGAUAGCAUCCCACUCUUCCGAGGGAAAGUGAGUCCUUAAUGUUUUCCCAGCCUUCCUCACUAUCAGACUGAACC